UCACGGUCGCGGGGUGCUGGCCUGCUAGGGGCUGGGGCCCGAGGGUUGCCUGGCCGUGCGCCCGUGCUGCGAUGGCCUGCUGGGGGCCGAGCCACCGAGGGACGCAGGGCUUGCUGCAAUCUGCGGUGCUGUGAUGGCCACCUGACCGUGCUGCUCACUAGGGAAAUGGAAAUCACCAGAAGGGGAAUCGCCUAGGAGCUGUCGAUCUGGUUAGUGGUUAUGGCCACCGGAUGGGACUAUGGGAGCAACAGCAGCUGGCUGCUGGCGGCUGGGUGGGAACC
rnacentral:lncRNA from 1 species